rnacentral:rRNA from 1 species
CAGUCGCCACGGGAAUACGUAGGGUGCGAGCGUUAAUCGGAAUUACUGGGCGUAAAGCGUGCGCAGGCGGUUGUGUAAGACAGGUGUGAAAUCCCCGGGCUUAACCUGGGAACUGCGCUUGUGACUGCACAGCUAGAGUAUGGUAGAGGGGGGUGGAAUUCCACGUGUAGCAGUGAAAUGCGUAGAGAUGUGGAGGAACACCGAUGGCGAAGGCAGCCCCCUGGGCCAAUACUGACGCUCAUGCACGAAAGCGUGGGGAGCAAACGGGAUUAGAUACCCGCGUAGUCCCUGUCUCUUAUAC